CUGUCCCCAGCGGCCUCAGGCUAUGGGACCCAGAACAUUCGACUGAGCCGGGAUGCCGUGAAGGACUUCGACUGCUGUUGUCUCUCCCUGCAGCCUUGCCACGAUCCUGUUGUCACCCCAGAUGGCUACCUGUAUGAGCGUGAGGCCAUCCUGGAGUACAUUCUGCACCAGAAGAAGGAGAUUGCCCGGCAAAUGAAGUUUCAUCAUGUGUAAAACGGGCUGACGGCCAAAUCAGAGGACACAGCAGGGCACCUGGGAGGUACACGCAGAUGAGCAUUCUCAAGGCGUGUUACUGGGAACCCGGCCUGGCCUUCCACGGACAAAGCCAUUUGAUGGGCCUACGAGAAGCAGCGGGGCACCAGGCGCGAGGAGCAGAAGGAGCUUCAGCGGGCGGCCUCGCAGGACCAUGUGCGGGGAUUCCUGGAGAAGGAGUCGGCCAUCGUGAGCCGGCCCCUCAACCCUUUCACAGCCAAGGCCCUCUCGGGCACCAGCCCAGGUGACUCAGAUGAUGUCCAACCUGGGCCCAGUGUGGGUCCUCCAAGUAAGGACAAGGACAAAGUGCUGCCCAGCUUCUGGAUCCCGUCGCUGACACCCGAAGCCAAGGCCACCAAGCUGGAGAAGCCGACAGCUCCGUGGACCGCGUGGGGCUCAUCACGCGCAGCGAGCGCUACGUGUGCGCCGUGACCCGCGACAGCCUGAGCAACGCCACCCCCUGCGCUGUGCUGCGGCCCUCUGGGGCAGUGGUCACCCUCGAAUGCGUGGAGAAGCUGA
rnacentral:sRNA from 1 species